UCCUUGGUGGCUCAGAUGAUAAAGAGUCUGCCUGCAAAGCAGAAGACCUGGGUUCAGUUCCUGGGUCAGGAA
rnacentral:tRNA from 1 species